GUUGGUGAACCAGCGGAGGGAUCAUUACAGAGUUGCAAAACUCCCAAACCAUUGUGAACGUUACCUUCAAACCGUUGCUUCGGCGGGCGGCCCGGGUCCGCCCGGUGCCCCCUGGCCCCCUCGCGGGGCGCCCGCCGGAGGAAACCCAACUCUUGAUACAUUAUGGCCUCUCUGAGUCUUCUGUACUGAAUAAGUCAAAACUUUCAACAACGGAUCUCUUGGUUCUG
rnacentral:misc_RNA from 1 species